UUAGGGCAAAUGAGGAACCUCAUAUUAAAUGGGUAAUUUGCGUCUGAAUUUUCUUUGAUGCUAUCACCUUGGAGAUCUGAUGCCCUCU
rnacentral:snoRNA from 1 species